UCUAACCUAAGAGUUUGAUCCUGGCUCAGAACGAACGCUGGCGGCAUGCCUAACACAUGCAAGUCGAACGCUAUCUUUGAUAGAGUGGCGCACGGGUGAGUAACGCGUGGGAACCUGCCUUUUUCUGCGGGACAACGGUUGGAAACGACCGCUAAUACCGCAUACGCCCUACGGGGGAAAGGUCCGCCGGAGAAAGAGGGGCCCGCGUUUGAUUAGCUUGUUGGUAGGGUAAUGGCCUACCAAGGCGACGAUCUUUAGCUG
rnacentral:rRNA from 1 species